rnacentral:rRNA from 1 species
AUUGGAACGCUGGCGGCCGUGGUAACACAUGCAAGUCGAGCGGAUGGACGGGAGCCCGGCUCCCUGAUUCAGCGGCGAGCGGGUGAGUAACGUCUAGGAAUCUGCCUGGUAGUGGGGGACAACGUUCCGAAAGGAGCGCUAACAUCGCAUACGUCCUAAGGGAGAAAGUGGGGGGGUCGGACCUCACGCUAUCAGAUGAGCCUAGGUCGGAUUAGCUAGUUGGUGGGGUAAUGGCUCACCUAGGCGACGAUCCGUAACUGGUCUGAGAGGAUGAUCAGUCACACUGGGAACUGAGACACGGUCCAAGCUCCUACGGGAGGCAGCAGUGGGGUAUAUUGGACAAUGGGCGAAAGCCUGAUCCAGCCAUGCCGCGUGUGUGAAGAAGGUCUUCGGAUUGUAAAGCACUUUAAGUUGGGAAGAAGGGUAGUAAGUUCGAGCUUGCUGUUUGACGUUACCAC